rnacentral:rRNA from 1 species
UACGUAGGGGGCAAGCGUUGUCCGGAUUUACUGGGCGUAAAGAGCGUGUAGGCGGCUAAACAGGUCCGUUGUGAAAACUGGAGGCUCAACCUCCAGACGUCGACGGAAACCGUAUGGCUAGAGUCCGGAAGAGGAGAGUGGAAUUCCUGGUGUAGCGGUGAAAUGCGCAGAUAUCAGGAAGAACACCAAUGGCGAAGGCAGCUCUCUGGGACGGUACUGACGCUGAGACGCGAAAGCGUGGGGAGCGAACAGG